rnacentral:rRNA from 1 species
UACGGGGGGAGCAAGCGUUGUUCGGAUUUACUGGGCGUAAAGGGCGCGUAGGCGGCGUAACAAGUCACUUGUGAAAUCUCCGGGCUUAACCCGGAGCGGCCAAGUGAUACUGUUGUGCUAGAGUGCGGAAGGGGCUACUGGAAUUCUCGGUGUAGCGGUGAAAUGCGUAGAUAUCGAGAGGAACACCUGCGGCGAAGGCGGCGACCUGGGCCAAUACUGACGCUGAGGUGCGAAAGCAUGGGGAGCGAACAGG